UCCCUGGCGGCUCAGAUGGUAAAGAAUCUGCCUGUAAUGCAGGAGACCCAGGUUCAAUCCCUGGAUUGGGAA
rnacentral:tRNA from 1 species